UCCUACUGCCAUGACUUCUUGAGUAAUACAAAUAGAGCCACUUCCCAUGCCGACACGCAGAGCAUCAACACCAGAAUCAAUAAGGUUUUUAGCCUGUGCAGCUGUGACAACAUUGCCUCCAACCACCUGAAGUUGAAAUAUGGAAUUCCCCUGAGAUGAAUCUAUUACAACCACAUCGACACCAGCCUUGACAAGUGCAUCCAGCCGUAGUUUGUCUUCUUCUCUUGUGCCGAUGGCUGCACCCACUAUUAAGUAACCAAUCAAAGAUAUCUUAGAUUGAAACCAAGCUAUACUAUAAUGUCACAAUAAAUCUUAAUAAACAUAAUGCRUUCUGGUCUAGAUGGGGUGCACACAACACUAAAUAAAGUAUGGUCAACAUAAGAUGUUUGUACUCAAGCUAGCCAACAAUGCACCAUGUUUGCUAUCUCAGCUAAGGUCUAUGUGCCUUUUAGGCACAAUAUAUUAUAUCCUCACAAUAGGUCUUGAUAAACAGGAUAUAUUCUGGUCUAACUGGGUACAAACAACAGCAUAUGAAGUACCCAAGCUAGACCAAAAUGCCUGAUUUGUACAGUAUUUCUUUCUUUUAACUGACUUUGUCCAUUCGAUCCUCCCUCCUACUCAUCGUACUCUCCCCAUUAAAGACAAAACAAAGUAUGCAGUAUGCACCUAAUAACUGCUUGUUCUUAUCUUUUGAAGCCAGUGGAUAGUCUCUGUUCUUCUUUAAAUCAGUCCUUGCUAUGAGAGACACCAGUUCUCCCUUUUCAUUGAUGAUUGGUAGUUUUCCUACAAGCAAACCAUAUCGACCUAUUACUAAUAUUUUACUGACAUCAAUAUCACUAAAACUUGGGCUACCUGUGUUUUACAACACAGGGAUCCCAUUAUUUUUUUCUUGGCAUCCAAAUACACUGGCCUUAAUAUGGGUACCUUUCUUACUGCGCUGCAAAAUUUGGUUAGCUUCUAUUAGAGUAAUGCCUGAUUUAGCCACAAUUAGGUCUUCUACAGGAGUCAUGACCUAGGAUGUAAAAACGUAGCAAAUUAUGAGGAUUGAUUCUAGCUUCAUGGCUUACAAAAGGCUUGAGAAAAAACAGUACUUUAGGUUGGUAAGAUUUGGUAUGCAGGGUAUGGGUGGUGGGGAGUGGUUUGGUAUAGAUGGUAUGGUAUGGUAGGUCAGGAUAGGGUGUGCUAUUCUAUGUUAUGGUAUGGUUUAGGAUAUAGUAAGGUAAGGUAUGGUAUGCAGGGUAUGGGUGGUAGGGAGUGGUUUGGUAUAGAUGGUAUGGUAUGGUAGGGCAGGAUAGGGUGUGCUAUUCUAUGUUAUGGUAUGGUUUAGGGUAUAGUAAGGUAAGAUUUGGUAUGCAGGGUAUGGGUGGUAGGGAGUGGUUUGGUAUAGAUGGCAUGGUAUGGUAGGGUAGGAUAGGGUGUGCUAUGCUAUGUUAUGGUAUGGUUUAUGGUAUAGUAAGGUAAAGUAUGGUAUGUAGGGCAUGGGUGGUAGGGAGUGGUUUGGUAUAGAUGGUAUGGUAUGGUAGGGCAGGAUAGGGUGUGCUAUGCUAUGGUAUGGUAUGGUUUAUGGUAUAGUAAGGUAAGGAAUGGUAUGCAGGGAAUGGGUGGUAGGGAGUGGUAUGUUAUGUUAUAGAUGGCAUGGUAUGAUAAGGCAGAAUCAUAACAAAUUGCAAGCCCGAUUUUAUUGCGUUUGGGCACAUUCAGAUCUGCAUUAUUAGAAUAUUUCUGGGGAUUAAUGGGAGAAGUGUGAAGCUUUUGUUUUAUGGCCAGCAGGACGCCUAACUGGAAAGACAGCUUCAUAUUGAAACGCGUUGAAAGGCGUUGAUCACAUUAACUUGCUUGUCAUUCUGUGGUUAUUACCAUGGUAACAUAGGGAUUAAAAUUGGGCUUGUGGCUGUUUAUGAUAGGAUGUGCUACGCUAUGGUAUGGGUUAUAGUAUAGCUAGGUAUGAUGGGGAUGGAACUUUGAGAUUUUGCAUUCGUAGCACACAGUAUCAUGAUGUGUCAUAAGAUGGUAAAUUGGAAUGUGGUGCGAAUACUGUGGUAUGGGUAUGUUGCGCAGCAUUGUGCAUGCUAUAGUGCAUGAUGUAGACUGUAAAGUAAUGUUAAGUGACAUAGUCUAGUGUGGUGUAUGCUAAGAUACCUCUUUCAGUGGCUUGCUAUGGUCAAUAUCAAGAAGGAAAUCUAUGUCUCUGGAUGUAACAAUGCCGAGUAACACUCCACCCAUAUGGCCAUUCUCUGCAAACAAAAUAUUCAUUAUCAAAAUUAUCAGCCAGUGAUGUCAGUGACCCAAUACCAUCAUGCAUCAAAAUCAUCAUCAUCAUUAUGUAGUAUCAUCAUCAUGUAUCAUCAUCAUGUAUCAUCAUCAUGUAUCAUCAUCUUGCAUCAUCAUCACGAUAUAUCAUCUUCAACUCAU